rnacentral:rRNA from 1 species
AUUGAACGCCGGCGGCAUGCCUUACACAUGCAAGUCGAACGGCAGCACGGGGCAACCUGGUGGCGAGUGGCGAACGGGUGAGUAAUGCAUCGGAACGUACCUUUCAGUGGGGGAUAACGUAGCGAAAGUUACGCUAAUACCGCAUAUUCUGUGAGCAGGAAAGCAGGGGAUCGCAAGACCUUGCGCUGAUUGAGCGGCCGAUGUCAGAUUAGCUAGUUGGUGAGGUAAAGGCUCACCAAGGCCGCGAUCUGUAGCGGGUCUGCGAGGAUGAUCCGCCAUCCCGUAACUGAGACACGUUCCAGACUCCUACGGGAGGCAGCAGUGGGGAAUUUUGGACAAUGGGGGCAACCCUGAUCCAGCCAUGCCGCGUGAGUGAAGAAGGCCUUCGGGUUGUAAAGCUCUUUCGGCCGGGAAGAAAUCGCACGGGCUAAUACCCUGUGUGGAUGACGGUACCGGAAUAAGAAGCACCGGCUAACCACGUGCCAGCAGCCGCCGUAAGAC